UACGAAGGGGGGCUAGCGUUGCUCGGAAUCACUGGGACGUAAAGCGCACGUAGGCGGAUUGUUGAAGUCAGGGGUGAAAUCCUGGAGCUCAACUCCAGAACUGCCUUUGAUACUGGCGAUCUCGAGUCCGGGAGAGGUGAGUGGAACUGCGAGUGUAGAGGUGAAAUUCGUAGAUAUUCGCAAGAACACCAGUGGCGAAGGCGGCUCACUGGCCCGGUACUGACGCUGAGGUGCGAAAGCGUGGGGAGCAAACAGG
rnacentral:rRNA from 1 species